UACAGAGGUCCCAAGCGUUGUUCGGAUUCACUGGGCGUAAAGAGCUCGUAGGCGGUUCGUCGCGUCGGCUGUGAAAUCCCGAGGCUCAACCUCGGGUCUGCAGUCGAUACGGGCGGACUGGAGUUCGGCAGGGGAGACUGGAAUUCCUGGUGUAGCGGUGAAAUGCGCAGAUAUCAGGAGGAACACCGGUGGCGAAGGCGGGUCUCUGGGCCGAUACUGACGCUGAGGAGCGAAAGCGUGGGGAGCGAACAGG
rnacentral:rRNA from 1 species